CCAGAUUGGGACAGAGGGAAUCAGCAUAAUUUUUUGUGGUGCAUUUACUUGAUUGGUGCUUGGGGAUGUUUGAGGCAGAUUUGUUUCCGUCGUUUUGAGGCCAGCUUGCUGGUACCCAAACGGUGUUAGCAUUUUUUGUCUUGGGCAUUUGAGUAUGGCUCACGUGUAUUUAUUGGACAGAUCUGAGUGUAAGUUACGGUCGCAUGCGACACGUGCUUUUCAAUUAGUUCGGUCCAGUUAAUGCUCUCGUACUCGUUCCCCAUGUAAAAGCCGGUCAUCUAUCCGACCCGUCUUGAAACACGGACCAAGGAGUUUAUCGUGUGCGCAAGUUUUUGGGUGUUAAAAACUUAAAAGCGAAAUGAAAGUAAAUGACUCUUUAGAGUCUGAUGUGCGAUCUUGUAAAAAAGUGUAGCAUGGCCCCAUUCUAACUGUUUACAGUAGGGUGGCGGAAGAGCGUACGCGGUGAGACCCGAAAGAUGGUGAACUAUUCCUGAGCAGGACGAAGCCAGAGGAAACUCUGGUGGAAGUCCGAAGCGGUUCUG
rnacentral:rRNA from 1 species